ensembl:lncRNA
UGAUCAGCACGUGGUGUUGAUCAGCUUGCUGAUCAAAUAAAAAUGUAGUACACAGGAUUCGGCUUCGCGGUGCAUUGUUCAUCCAUAAUUGGACACGACUGCAUUCCGCCACUGCAACAGUGGACCAUGGACUCAGAGUCGUUGCUAAAACCCAAUAACAAACCCCUUCUCUUCCUCCGACUGGUCGUUUUGCAACCUCGGUGCCUUAACACAGAGCCUUAAUAACGCACAACCAUAUGCCUACAUUUUAAAAUUGAAAAUCGGUGCUUCAGAGCCCGGAGGGUUAAAUCGCCUACCCUAGCUGGCGCCUUUACGCAUGACUCCUCUCCCAGUGCCGUCAUCCUGAUGCCUUCUGUGGUCACAUCGCCAUGGCGCAUGGCACAACAGAAUAGCAUAGAGGCAUCUCGGAUUAACCAAUAUGUUCAGUUAAUGCAAUCUCAACAGAGACAUAUCGGAUUAAGCACUAUGUUUGGUUUGAAGCGAGGGAGCAGAACGCGCACUUGGAACCGACGGCGCUUCUUGCGUUUAAAGGAGAAUUGGGACGUUUUCUGAAUGCAAUUAACUUUGAGCCAGGGGCUCGCAAGACUCAAAUAAAUAAUGAUGACGUGCUACCGGGCUAUUCUUCUUAUAUCUUUUAAGUAAAUCCAUCGAAGGAAAUCAUGACACAUAUUGAACAUCAUCAAUGAAAAUGCUUCUCAUUUGUACAAAUGUAGUUUUUCCUUGCGCUUUUUCGAUUCGAUUAACGCAUGCUGAACAGAAAAUAGGCUUUUCCUUUUUCCAUAAUGGCAUUCAUCUCCAAACGAGCAAUUACCUCUGCCUCUUACCAUUCUGCGAACUACUGGGAUGCGAAGGCAAAUUGGGUUUGUUCUUUUGACGCUUGGAACAGAAAUUGUCACGAGAGCCUCAGCGCACAAAAACGGAACGCAUAAUGGGAUUUAUUUCCAAAUGUAUGUAAAUGUAUGCAAAUAUGACAUCGUGAGUGCUUAACCUCCCUCCUGCCAGUUCUGCAUGGUCAUGACCUGUCGUCACGCCCCUUCCCCAGCCCACCUCGUCCUAUUGGUCCUGCUUUGUGUCACUCCACAGCUGGCUGGCGCCGCCCCUGUGCGGGCUGAGGGAGGCGAGGGAGGGGCGGCCGAGGGGCGCGCACGGACAGACCUCAGGGACGACAGCCUUGGCAGCGUGCUCUCGCUCCCACGCCUCCGCCUCUCGGAGGAGGGGGCGCCGGGGCCGGGGGAGCUCAGAGAUAACCCCCUGGACCCCGCGCUGCUGCUCAGCGCUCUGCUGGAGGUCCUGGACCGCCCUGGCGCCCGGGGGCUGCGGGAGAACGGGACGGGGGGAGAUGGGGACGAUGGGGGGGCCCCGGUCGCAGAGCGAGGGGCUGAUAGGAAGGAGGAGGAGGAGGAGGAGGAGGAGGAGAAGGAGGAGGAGGAGGAGCAGAGGGGAAGAGCGAGG